rnacentral:lncRNA from 1 species
AUUAUAAUUUCUGACCAUUAAAAAUUAUUAAAAUUAAUUAAAGGAAAAAUUACAUAAAAUUUCUAAAGACGACUCCAUCCUCAGCCUAAUCCAUAUCCCUCCAUUCAUAAAUGUGCAAUUAGAUCAUAAAAGAUACUUCUACUACCAAAUAUAUAUGUUACUCAUAUAGAACAGUAUUACACUCCAACAUUGUUUGUUUGCAUUUCAAUUAAAAGCGAUUAAUCGAUCAGCCAAAGGAAACUCCGUAAUGGACAAUAGAGAAACACACUCAGAGGGAAUGUAAAAGGUUAGACAACCAAUUUGAAUAUUUCCAUGGCCACAAAACCAAAGAAGAUGCAAAGAUACUUCCAUCAUAAAACAAUUCACAAAAGAGCAGAGUUACAAAACAAAAAAUAUAUUAUUUAAAAACAAAGCUUUAAUUUUACAUCAACGAGAAGAAAAAUAAAUCCUAAUGUGAAUCAAAUCAGAUCAAAAGCAAAUCCAAAUCGACCUCCACGACAAGAAACCUUGUAGGAAUGAGUUUGUUUGUUGAUAUGAAUCCCUUGAAUGAAUGUUGCUAGGUGC